CCCCGCCCGGGCGCCGGGGAGCUCUGCGCGGAAACGACCCCUCGCCUCUGAGAGGGGUCGGACUGGGGCCUCCGCCUCAUCGCUGUUCGCCCCUUCUCGCUCGCGCGCACACCCAAGCACGCUCCCUGGCUUGCGCAAGAACUGGAGGAGUGAGCCUAGCUCGUGCCGAGGACUGGACUCGGUAGGCCUACCUCUCCUCCAUCCAUCUCCCUACCGGUAGCAGGUCGUUACCACCCUCUUAGAGAAGCCCGAGAGGAGGGGGAGAAGUCCCAUCACAAGCAUUUGCACAAAAUGUGGCGCACUGUAAGCGUUUGGACGGGAACAAAACAAUCGGGAACCCGAAGAGGGUAUCCGUGAUUUCAAAAUAUUUUGCCUAGUUGUUAAACCGGUUCGCCCCAGCCCUGAUCUCCUACCUCCAUGCCUAUACAUUGAAAAGUGCUGAAUACUUCUCAAACACUAGCACACCACAUAGCUACCAGAUCAGGUAAGUUCAGACUCUCUUUCUUCCCUGGAUCAGUUUUCAUGUGAGUAUUGUCCACUAGGUCGCUGUAUCCUGUCUGUGUCUUUCCUCCCCACUCUGUCAGGCUGCUAUGCUGCCUCUGCCAUGUCACUGCCAUCACUGCCAUGGACUCAAAGCCAGUGCACUCUUUCUUGCCCUCUGUUCCAAUAACCUGAAUCUCUGGUUCUUUCUAGAACUCUAUCUGUCCAUUAUUGAACUUGAGUACAUUCCUUCUGCACCAACCUCUCUGAGUAGCUGUUCACCAAGUUGCAGGGAAACUAGAAAAUGCUGCCUGCUCCUUUUUGUCAUCUUGGUUCCCUAAUGGCGAAGACCAUUCUGGCUAAUUCCAGCUAAAAAGGGUCAGAGUUGUGAUCAGCAGUCAGUGUUACUGUACAGAGAGUCUAUCUAAAGGGCCUCGAUACGUGCCAGGCAUUGUCAUCUUGGUAGCUGUAUAGCUUUGAGUCUGUAGGAGACAAAGCCAAAGAAACAGUUAAUACAUGGACCAAAUAAUAAGGUCAGAAGGAUUGCUAUGAAUAUACCCAACAAGAGUUUCCACUGGAAGGAACUAGUAAUAGCCUCCCACAAAGAGGAUAAGGAGAAGGUCCAGGGGACUUCAGAAUCCCAACAUAGAAAUCCUAUUGUAUAGUUUAGCAGUUAUAAGCUGUUUACAAGGUUGAUCUGGUGGAUCCCAGUAAAAGAAGUCUAGCACAUUUGUCAUUGGUUCCAUUUGUAUGACAGCUUGGAGUUGACAGCCUCUAGGCAAGAGUAAACAAAACUUUUAAGAAAUUAGAGCAUGUACAGUCUAAGCAUGAGCACAUUAGAAUGGAAGGGCAGGUUCGGGAGAAAGUUGCACUUAGAAAUUGAAAUAGUGAUUAUAACCUGGUGGCUCUUAUAGAUCCUACCAUAGUUUUUUCCGGACGACCCAUAAUCGUGGUCAGCUACUAGUGUAGCUAGAAACUGCCAGAAUGUGUCAGUGACUGGAGCCCCUUUUUAUAUCUAGCUUUAUUACUAUGGCAUAAUUUUAUACCUCCUUUCGUUAUUCUUUUCUGCUGGGUGUUUAAGACCAAGUUAAAGUGAGACUUGUGUCAAUCAGUAUGAACCUCUUGCUAUCUAUCAAGGUCAGUUAAGUCUCCUCAGGCCAUUACUUUGGAACCAUGCAUAGAGCCUCUCAGCUCCUCUGUCAGUGUCAGCCAUCAGGAUGGGUCACAGCCUUGCUUGACCAUGUUGCUUUCAGUGAAAGCAUGGGAGAUUUUUUUCCUCUUUGUGAUCUUCCUUUGGCACAGGGUACAUUUGUCCUCUGGUGCCCAGCAAUCUCCCUGCUCAGGAGGUUGAGUUUCUUACCAAAGAUGUAGGAUCCUGCAGGAAAGGUUCCUUUGUGUCCUGGAUCUUUGUUGACCUUGAGGGGCCAGGGCCAAAAUAUUGGCUGUCCUCAUAGCCCAGUUACCUGUCUAGUUUUGGUCUCCAAACUUUAGUUGUUGAACACCCAGUAGAGAAGAUCAGUGACAUAAGUAUUUCAGUAGGAGCAGUGAGCUUACCUAUUAUACUUUUGAAGUAUAAAGCACAGUUAGAG
ensembl:lncRNA